rnacentral:ncRNA from 2 species
CGCUUAUAGAGAAAGGCCGAGGGAAUAGACCCGCUGAAGCCUUAGCAACCUGUCACUAGACAAGGUGCUACAUUCUACUCCGGAUAAGCUGGGGAAAGAUAAGCU